AACAUAAUUCCAUUUUACAUGUUGUUUCGACUACAUUUUACUGCCAGUCGAAAGUCAUAUUAAAGUGUCACAAAUUUCCUGCUGUUGACACAUUCGAAGUUGCAUACUGUUCAAUUGCAGCGACCACGACCCAUGAAAUUCAUGACCCUGCCCAUAGUGAUGUUGUCCCAGUUUCCUUCUGGAUCCACUAUUUUUGCAAACUUACGAAAUAGUUCGAAUCUGGUUUCCACUUGUUGUUGCUUUAACUGGGCCAUUUCAUCAGAUUCUUGAAUACCAUAAUUACAGUGGCAGGGGCAAUUUCAAUUUUGG
rnacentral:lncRNA from 1 species